CUACGUGCCAGCAGCCGCGGUAAUACGUAGGGUGCAAGCGUUAAUCGGAAUUACUGGGCGUAAAGAGUGCGCAGGCGGUUUUGCAAGACCGAUGUGAAAUCCCCGGGCUUAACCUGGGAACUGCAUUGGUGACUGCAAGGCUAGAGUGUGUCAGAGGGAGGUGGAAUUCCGCAUGUAGCAGUGAAAUGCGUAGAUAUGCGGAGGAACACCGAUGGCGAAGGCAGCCUCCUGGGAUAACACUGACGCUCAUGCACGAAAGCGUGGGGAGCAAACAGGAUUAGAUACCCUGGUAGUCCACGCCCUAAACGAUGUCUACUAGUUGUCGGGGAUUAAUUUCCUUGGUAACGCAGCUAACGCGUGAAGUAGACCGCCUGGGGAGUACGGUCGCAAGAUUAAAACUCAAAGGAAUUGACGGGGACCCGCACAAGCGGUGGAUGAUGUGGUUUAAUUCGAUGCAACGCGAAGAACCUUACCUACUCUUGACAUCCAGA
rnacentral:rRNA from 1 species